GACGAACGCUGGCGGCGUGCUUAACACAUGCAAGUCGAACGGAAAGGCCCUGCUUUUUUGUGGUGCUCGAGUGGCGAACGGGUGAGUAACACGUGAGUAACCUGCCCUUGACUUUGGGAUAACUUCAGGAAACUGGGGCUAAUACCUGAUAGGAGCUCCUGCUGCAUGGUGGGGGUUGGAAAGUUUCGGCGGUUGGGGAUGGACUCGCGGCUUAUCAGCUUGUUGGUGGGGUAGUGGCUUACCAAGGCUUUGACGGGUAGCCGGCCUGAGAGGGUGAACAGCCACAUUGGGACUGAGAUACGGCCCAGACUCCUACGGGAGGCAGCAGUGGGGAAUAUUGCACAAUGGGCGGAAGCCUGAUGCAGCAACGCCGCGUGCGGGAUGACGGCCUUCGGGUUGUAAACCGCUUUCGCCUGUGACGAAGCGUGAGUGACGGUAAUGGGUAAAGAAGCACCGGCUAACUACGUG
rnacentral:rRNA from 1 species